rnacentral:rRNA from 1 species
UACAGAGGUGGCAAGCGUUGUUCGGAAUUACUGGGCGUAAAGGGCGCGUAGGUGGUCUUGUCAGUCAGACGUGAAAUCCCCGGGCUUAACUCGGGAACUGCGUCUGAUACUACAAGACUUGAGUUCGGGAGAGGGAUGUGGAAUUCCAGGUGUAGCGGUGAAAUGCGUAGAUAUCUGGAGGAACACCGGUGGCGAAGGCGGCAUCCUGGACCGAAACUGACACUGAGGCGCGAAAGCCAGGGGAGCAAACGGG